GAAACCUUCGUCUUAACUAAACAUAAGCCCCAAACAAAAUAUAAUGAAAGCAAAAUAAAAGUAAAAUAAAAAUAAAGCUCAGACUUGGUUCCUUACAACCCAUUAGAUGAAUGGGCAGUUUUCAAUACUCCCCUUUGUAAUAAAGGUGAUCAGCCAAAUCAGUAUAUGUUUUACACUUGUAAUUAACUACAACAAUUGUUUAUUACUUAGUCUUACCAGAAUGACUGACUGAUUUGAGUUCAGCAAAGUACUAAAUUACUCCCCUACUAAUAUCCUACUAAAUAAUAAAAAAAUGGAAAACUUUAUUAAAAUCAAUGGAAACACAGAAAGCAAAAUAAUGAACAAGCAUAUCAUGAGAUGUUGCACUGAAACAAAAAUAAACUCAUUUUCAUAUGAAUUGGCAAAUCAUGCACAUGGCCAUUAGAGCAAAUUUCGGUGUUAACGCCACAUGAAUCAAAUGGUAUUUCUUAGCUCAAAAGAGUAGAAAAAUAUGUUCAUUAAUAACACAUUCAGUGACACUUACCAACUCAAUUGCUAUCAUUAAGGUGACCAACUUUUUACAAUGAAAAGGAGGACACAAAUAAAUUGAAGGAAAAAAUACUGUAAAUAAAAGAAGCAUUGUAUUCAUUGCAACAAUAAUACAGUAUGAUAAUUUCUAUAUAAUAUUUCCUAUUCAUCUUUCACAAGUAUUUCUUCAAUGACUUUGAAACUGUUUAAUAUUAACUCUCUCUUUUUAUACUAAAAUUCUUAUUGUCAACUUUGAAGAUGACCUAUUUUCUAUUUUAUAAUCAAGUCUGAAUUAAACAAUAUAAGCUUUUGCACUUGCUCAGUUUGUCAUUCUUUUGAAAUUAUUUAUUGUAACAAGAACAAUUAAGCAACAUGUCUGCUGAAGAAUGCUAAGGAAAGAAGACACAAAUGAAAAUAAUUAUAUAGAAAAUGAAUUUAAAAAACCGAAUCAUAACUUGGAUUUCUGUUUAGAUAAAAACAAACAGAUGAAAAAUUCAUGCAUAUAAAGUCACUGAUAAAUUAUGGAGGGAUGGAGUUUCAAAGUAAUAUAAUUAAGGAUUGUUUCUGGAACAUCGUCUCCAUUUUCCUCAGAUGACUACAUUUGACAGAUAAUGGUCGAAAUGCUUUCCUCAACUGAUGUUUAUUUGGGUAUUUGAAGACAUCACUGGUUCUGUCUGUGUAUUUAAUUUAAUUCAUGCUCAGAAGAUUAACUUUUGAUUAGAAAUGCUACAGUUUAUCAGCUAAAUUAUUUUGCAUGAUGUAUUUAAUUAAAAUAUGUUAAAUGUUAAAUUUUUUAUUUGUGUAUAAAUAAAUAUUUUCUUAAAAAAAAAAGAUAGAAAUUAAAAAUUUGAAUUUUACAUGUUACAUGGUGCCACUUUUAUGUUUUAAAUUGACUGUUCAGUUACAUUGAAGUCAGCCUUGAAGUAGAGAAUUGGUAUAGUUUUAUUGUAACUAUUCAAUGAAUUGAAAGUUGUUUUGGGAUGAGCAAACACUUUAAGGAAGAAAUUCAGUGUUGUUUGAGUGUUUCUUCUUAUGAGUGGUAUCCUUUUUUGUGCCGUCAUCUUCACUUGGGUACAUACCUGAUUAGAAGGGAAGAAAGAAGAGAAAACAACAGUGAAUAUGUUUAAUGUGCCACACUUUGUUCACUACCAGUGAUAUGCUUCAGUUCUCCUUUGUUUAUAGAGAAAAGUUAACAGAUGUUUUACGUUUUCUUUCUAUUGGUUAGCCAACAAUCCUUUCUGUUUUGACACGGAGACCAAUGGUUAGCAAUAAAACAUACUUAUCUUCCAUGACUGCUAAUUUCUCAUUUAUAUAUUUUAUGUUCAUGAUAUCCAAGUAGAUAUUUCCAGGACAUCUUUCCAUACUUCAAUCUUGUCUAAAAUUCAUGAUAAGAUCCUGUUACUUAAUUUUUUAAAAAAGGGUAUAAUAUUCUCAUAUUCAAAAAGGGUCUUUUCAUCAUCUCUCUGACUGUCUUUUUGAUUUCAACAAUUAGUCUGGAUGUCCAAUGUUUUUAAACCUGACAUAAUAAUUUAUAGUGUUGAUCGAAGAAGAAAAUCUUAUUGGUGAUUAUACUGGGAAGAAAAAAUAGAAGUGAGAUUUCUGAAGAAGUAGAAGACAAGAUUUCUCAGAUUUCUAAUUUGCCAAUAAAAACCAUUUCUGUAUAACAAAUGAAGAAUUGUUUUCAGAAAAGUCAAGUAUUAAAGGAUGUGUUUAUUAAAUUCUUUUGCUGACAGAAGAAUGAAACUUUCUUAUAAGAAAUGAUAUAAGAAAAUAUGAAAGAAGAAAACAUUUUUGAUGCAAAUGAAGAAAAACACAAAAUGAAAUGAAGAUAUUUUUAAAAAAUGCUUCAUAUAAAUAGUUUUCAGAAAACUUAGAAAUCACGUUAAUUUAUGAUAGUAUUUCUCUGUGUUGCUAAUGUUUUGUGAACACUUUGGUAAGCACUUAUUGUAUAUAAUGCAGUAAAAUCAUUCGAGGAGGUUGUAACAUUUAAAGUUUAGUUAAAGGAUUGUUAUUAGAAAAAUGCAUAUAAUUUUCUAUCUGCCCACAAGUUUAACAUUAAUUUAAAAAUAGUUUGGUUAAAUUUAUAUAUUUAUAUAUUUGACUGAUGAUAAAUUAAAGAGAGUUUUGGUCUCUUUAAUUUAAAAGUAUCAAAAGCAAUAUCUAACAUAGGUUUUGAUAUUUUUAUUUCUCAUAUUUUACAGGUUUCACGAAUCAAAAGAAUGGAAAAUAUCGAUGCGAAAGUUGCAAGAAAGAAUUCAUUUCAAAAUAUUAUUUAAAACAUCAUCAGAAGUUUCACACCGGAGAAGGUCUCUUGUCUUGCGAAUUCUGUAAUCGUAAGUUCAACA